CAGCCGCCACGGUAAUACGAAGGGUGCAAGCGUUAAUCGGAAUUACUGGGCGUAAAGCGCGCGUAGGUGGUUUGGUAAGAUGGAUGUGAAAUCCCCGGGCUCAACCUGGGAACUGCAUCCAUAACUGCCUGACUAGAGUACGGUAGAGGGUGGUGGAAUUUCCUGUGUAGCGGUGAAAUGCGUAGAUAUAGGAAGGAACACCAGUGGCGAAGGCGACCACCUGGACUGAUACUGACACUGAGGUGCGAAAGCGUGGGGAGCAAACAGGAUUAGAUACCCCUGUAGUCCCUGUCUCUUAUAC
rnacentral:rRNA from 1 species